ACUCCUACGGGAGGCAGCAGUGGGGAAUAUUGCACAAUGGGGGAAACCCUGAUGCAGCCAUGCCGCGUGUGUGAAGAAGGCCUUCGGUUGUAAAGCACUUUCAGUAGGGAGGAAGGUAGUGUAGUUAACACCUGCAUUAUUUGACGUUACCUACAGAAGAAGCACCGGCUAACUCCGUGCCAGCAGCCGCGGUAAUACGGAGGGUGCGAGCGUUAAUCGGAAUUACUGGGCGUAAAGCGCAUGCAGGCGGCUUGUUAAGUCAGAUGUGAAAGCCCGGGGCUUAACCUCGGAAUUGCAUUUGAAACUGGCAGGCUAGAGUCUUGUAGAGGGGUUAGAAUUUCAGGUGUAGCGGUGAAAUGCGUAGAGAUCUGAAGGAAUACCAGUGGCGAAGGCGGCCCCUGGACAAAGACUGACGCUCAGAUGCGAAAGCGUGGGAGCAAACAGGAUUAGAUACCCCUGGUAGCGACUGA
rnacentral:rRNA from 1 species